rfam:Ipomoea nil DNA, scaffold: scaffold1895, cultivar: Tokyo-kokei standard.
CCGACCUUAGCUCAGUUGGUAGAGCGGAGGACUGUAGUAAGUGCUGUAAAUCCUUAGGUCGCUGGUUCGAAUCCGGCAGGUCGGA